rnacentral:rRNA from 1 species
GAACGAACGAUGGUGUCCUGCCUAACAAAAACAAGUCGAACGCAUGUAGCAAUACAAGAGUGGCGCACGGGUGUCCAACGCGUGGGAACAUGCCCUGGAGUGGGGGAUAACCCGGCGAAAGCCGGGCUAAUACCGCAUACGUCCUGAGGGAGAAAGAUUUAUCGCUCUAGGAGGGGCCCGUGUCGGAUUAGCUAGUUGGUGAGGUAACGGCUCACCAAGGCGACGAUCCGUAGCUGGUCUGAGAGGAUGAUCAGCCACACUGGGACUGAGACACGGCCCAGACUCCUACGGGAGGCAGCAGUGGG